rnacentral:misc_RNA from 1 species
UCGAAGCCUGCAAAGCAGAACGACCCGCGAACAUGUUAUAACAACCGUGCCAGGAUGGGUCGGGCUUCAGUUCGAUCCUCGUGGCACACCGUCGAUGUGCGUCUUUGAUGUCCCAUUGGGGCCUCUUGGUCAUUGCUUCGACGUAACAAAACCCCGGCACGGGAUGUGCCAAGGAAAUCUAAAUUGAAGAAUGGCUCGUUCCAUGAUGUCCCGUUUGCGGUGUGCUCAUGGAGCGUGGCUUCUUUGUAAUCA